rnacentral:rRNA from 1 species
GACGAACGCUGGCGGCGUGCUUAACACAUGCAAGUCGAACGGAAAGGCCCUGCUUUUGUGGUGUGCUCGUGUGGCGAACGGGUGUGUAACGCGUGUGUCACCUGCCCUUGACUUUGGGAUACCUUCAGGAAACUGGGGAUAAUCCCGGAUAGGAUCUCCUCCCGCAUGGUGGGGGUGGGAAAGUUUCGUGGGUUAGGAUGGACUCGCGGCCUAUCAGCUUGUUGGUGGGGUAAUGGCUUACCAAGGCGUUGACGGGUAGCCGGCCUGAGAGGGUGACCGGCCACACUGGGACUGAGAAACGGCCCCGACUCCUACGGGAGGCAGGAGGGGGGAAAAUUGCACAAUGGGCGCAAGCCUGAUGCAGCAACGCCGCGUGGGGGAUGACGGCCUUCGGGUUGUAAACCUCUUUUAGUAGGGAAGAAGCGAAAGUGACGGUACCUGGAGAAAAAGCACCGGCUAACUACGUG